UACGUAGGGUGCAAGCGUUGUUCGGAUUUACUGGGCGUAAAGGGCGCGUAGGCGGCCACCGCAAGUCGACUGUGAAAUCUCCGGGCUUAACCCGGAAAGGUCAGCCGAUACUGCGGGGCUAGAGUGCAGAAGGGGCAACUGGAAUUCUCGGUGUAGCGGUGAAAUGCGUAGAUAUCGAGAGGAACACCUGCGGCGAAGGCGGGUUGCUGGGCUGACACUGACGCUGAGGCGCGAAAGCCAGGGGAGCAAACGGG
rnacentral:rRNA from 1 species